rnacentral:rRNA from 1 species
UACGAAGGUGGCUAGCGUUGUUCGGAAUUACUGGGCGUAAAGCGCACGUAGGCGGAUAUUUAAGUCAGGGGUGAAAUCCCAGAGCUCAACUCUGGAACUGCCUUUGAUACUGGGUAUCUCGAGUAUGGAAGAGGUGAGUGGAAUUCCGAGUGUAGAGGUGAAAUUCGUAGAUAUUCGGAGGAACACCAGUGGCGAAGGCGGCUCACUGGUCCAUUACUGACGCUGAGGUGCGAAAGCGUGGGGAGCAAACAGG